UAAAGCACUUUGAAAUGCCUUGCUGCUGAAAUGUGCUAUACAAAUAAAAUUUGAUUGAUUGAUUGAUUGAUUUUAUUUUAUUUUUAAAAGUGCCAUAAAAAGAACAUCACACAACAUAAUAUGAUAUGCUGUUCAAAUUCGCCAUUUUUAGUCGCCCAUUAUUGCCUUAAAAAUAGAGAGCCUUGAUAAUAGUUAGUAGUUUUGGUAAAUUCAAGUUGGUGACGUCCUAGUCCGAGUUAGACAAUAACACAACAGGAUAAGAACUGGAUGGAAAUGAAAUGUGGGUCACGAAAGGAACCUGAAGGAACAAAGGCUGCUAACGUGUAGCUAGCUGGUGGUAAGUUUGCAUCAAAAUCCUAAUUAUCUUAGUUUAACUAUAAACAGUGCAGUAAAUGUAUAAGCAAACUUACGUUGGUUUCAGAAAUAGUCAUUUAUCAAUGUUAUUGUGACUUUUAUGAUUAUUAUAACAAUCAUUCAACUUCAUGUUAUAACUGUAUGGAGGCCCUGUUUGCUGUGACUUAAUAUAGUUUUCUUCAUAAACUUAACCUGGUUUUAAUUAAGCUCAGUAUGCCAAAGAGACUUUGAUAUUUUGAGGCUGUUGUUAUAACUCCUUCAUCAUCAUUUUUAUCUUCAACAUAUUUUUGCAGUUUAAGCAAAUCAAUAUGAAAAACCUAAAUACUUUUCUGUUUCAGAAGAGGCUCUGGCUCCACUGGAUCAUCGCCCCAGUUUUGAGGAUGAAUCUCCACAGCGUUUUCAUGGUGUAAGUGACCUGUCCAGGAUGAACCCCGCCUCUGGCCCGAUGACCACCACCAGCCACCAGGAUCAGCGUGUUCAGAUCAUGGAUAGAAAGCUUUUAAGGCAGUUUGUCCCCUUUAAGUCCACACUUAAAACAACUUCAUAGUUAUUGAAGUUGCAUCAACUGAUUUAUGAUAUUGCUGACUAUUUUUUUCUACUUCUAACACUUACAGGCAAAGAAGACACCCAGAAAUGUUUUUUCACUCCAGGCAUCUGGUCCCAAUCAUUAUCAGUUCUUCUGAUGAUGUCACAUACAUAGCGAAUCCACAACGUCUUAAAAUUGUCUCUGUUAAGUGCAGUGGUGCAGUGAAUGGUAAUGUUCUGUUGUUGAUCCUCACUGUUCUUAGGAAGGAGAAAUGUCAGUUUGUCUGGAGUAAUACUGGAAUACUAUGACAUUGUAUUAAAACAAUACUCUGUCCUUGGUGAAAUAUUUUUCACAUUUCCUCUAAAGUGUACCUAUUGUUUUAUUGUGCUAAUUUUCAUGAGCAUGUUGUCUAUAAACUUUUAAUAUACUGACAAUUCGUACAAUUCUCUGAUAGUAUAUUGGCAAUGUUCUCUUGUAAGAUGUGAAUAUAUUGACUGCAUAAUGUAAUUUUUUUCAAUCGUAAAGUGUGUUGUAAUUGAUCCUUCUGUGUACUGUAGUGUGUAAGAAUCAUGUAAUGUACAAAGUAGCAAAGAAGAAUAAUAAGACAUUGAUAAUUAACUAAAA